AACUUCGUAUGAACCUAAAUUGUCCGAUUUCAUGCACCAAUCGAUAUCGGAUUUAGUCCCGAACUUGGGGAACUUCAUAAUAUUGUGGGAGGGGUUAUUUGCUGGGUUUUGAGUGAAAUCCAAUCUCUAGAACCAUGCAAUACACCAUCCACUCCAUUUCAUAACGAACUUCGUACGAACCUGAAUUAUCAAAUUUCGUGGACCAAUUGAUAUCGGAUUGAGUCCAAAACAUGAUGAACAUCAUAAUAUCAUGGGAGGAGUCAUUUGGUUGGUUCUGAGUGAAAUCCAAUGGCUACAACUAUGCAAUACAAC
rnacentral:lncRNA from 1 species